rnacentral:pre_miRNA from 15 species
AACUCACCAUCCUUUUACUGUUUCUUGUAAUCAGUAACAAGGAUUCAUCCUUGUGUAUAGUAAAUAACAGGGAGAAUCUUUGUCACUAAGUACAAUUAACAGCUAUUCAACACAUGAGAUG